GGUUUCUACCUUGGUCUUUGGUUCGUGUGCUUGUGGCCAUCAUGCGAUAAAUGAAGAAUGAAAUUGAGUCAGCAAAAGAGAAGGGCCAACCAUUGAAGAUAAGCAAAGCCCUCUAUGACAAACCAAAUCGGACACGUGUCCACCUGAUAUUUCAUUCUUGAUUUUCCUCAAAAUUACAACAGUUUUCGGUUCUUGUCUUCAAAGUGGUGGUUGGAAUUUUGAGCUUUGGUGCUUUCAAAUUGACAAAGUACCAACCUUUAUUCUCAAUUUUCAACAAGGCAAAAGUUUGCUUCAAGAAAAUUUUAAAAAAAAACAAUCAAUGGCGACUGCUUCUUCUUUGGGUUCAUCAACUCUGUUACAAUCCCAAAUUAGUGGAUUUGGCGGGAGUCAAAAGAUUUCUUUCUCCAACCCCAAUUCACUCACUUUCACCAGGAGGAGAAUUCAAACUGUGGUGACAGCUUCUUCUCGGGUGGAUAAGUUCUCGAAAAGCGACAUUAUUGUUUCUCCAUCCAUCCUUUCUGCUAACUUUUCUAAAUUAGGAGAGCAGGUGAAAGCAGUUGAGCAGGCAGGCUGCGACUGGAUUCAUGUAGAUGUGAUGGAUGGUCGAUUUGUUCCAAAUAUAACUAUUGGACCCCUUGUAGUUGAUUCCUUGCGCCCUAUCACAGAUCUUCCACUGGAUGUGCAUCUGAUGAUUGUCGAACCUGACCAGAGAGUACCUGACUUCAUAAAAGCAGGUGCUGAUAUUGUCAGUGUUCAUUGUGAGCAAUCUUCUACAAUCCACUUGCAUCGUACAAUAAACCAGAUUAAAAGUUUGGGAGCUAAAGCUGGGGUUGUCCUCAAUCCUGGAACCCCUUUAACCGCAAUUGAAUAUGUCCUUGAUGCUGUUGAUCUGGUGCUGAUUAUGUCUGUAAACCCUGGAUUUGGGGGACAGAGCUUCAUUGAGAGUCAGGUCAAGAAAAUCUCAGACUUGAGAAAAAUAUGUGCUGAGAAGGGAGUAAACCCUUGGAUUGAAGUUGAUGGUGGAGUUGGUCCCAAAAAUGCUUACAAGGUCAUUGAAGCCGGAGCCAAUGCCUUGGUAGCAGGUUCUGCUGUCUUUGGAGCUCCUGAUUAUGCUGAAGCUAUUAAAGGGAUCAAGACAAGCAAAAGGCCUGCAGCAGUUGCUGUAUGAGGUUCCGGCCUACUUGGUUCAAGUAGUCACAGCUGUUAAUACGGAAUUGUUUCUGUGAAACAUACAAAAUGUUUAUGUCACGUGUAUUUGCAACAGAGAGAUUUCUGUUAUCCAUAUAUGUUUUACAAGAGGAUCACUAUCAGUGGAUUGCAGUUUCAUCGUUGAGCUGUUUACGUUUCUAUGGAGUCCUUCCUACCAGUAGCUUUAUUUGCAUUUGACGCAGAUGAUAGUAGCAAAGCACGAAUAAACAUGGUUCACUCUGCAAUCUACACAAAGAGGAAAAAUAAAAUAGCAGAGGUUGUGUAAUACAAUAUGUUGUAUAACUUUCCUUUGCAUAGGGAACAAGAUGAUUCUGUACUGAAUAUCCAAUUUUCAAGAUGACACUUUAUAGAUGUUAA